UCGGGGAUCGUCUAAUGGUAGGACACCAGGUUUUGGUCCUGGGAAUCGGGGUUCGAACCCCUGUCCCCGAACCA
rnacentral:tRNA from 1 species